rnacentral:rRNA from 1 species
ACACAUGCAAGUCGAACGAAGCACUUAUCUUUGAUUCUUCGGAUGAAGAGGUUUGUGACUGAGUGGCGGACGGGUGAGUAACGCGUGGGUAACCUGCCUCAUACAGGGGGAUAACAGUUAGAAAUGACUGCUAAUACCGCAUAAGACCACAGAGCCGCAUGGCUCGGUGGGAAAAACUCCGGUGGUAUGAGAUGGACCCGCGUCUGAUUAGGUAGUUGGUGGGGUAACGGCCUACCAAGCCAACGAUCAGUAGCCGACCUGAGAGGGUGACUGGCCACAUUGGGACUGAGACACGGCCCAAACUCCUACGGGAGGCAGCAGUGGGGAAUAUUGCACAAUGGGGGAAACCCUGAUGCAGCGACGCCGCGUGAGCGAAGAAGUAUUUCGGUAUG